rnacentral:rRNA from 1 species
GACGAACGCUGGCGGCGUGCCUAAUACAUGCAAGUCGAACGGACAGUUUAUACCGUAGCUUGCUACACCAUAGACUGUGAGUUGCGAACGGGUUAGUAACGCGUAGGUAACCUGCCGGGUAGCGGGGGAUAAAUAUGGGAAACGAUAGCUAAUACCGCAUCAUAUUAAUUAUGGCAUGAUAAUUAAUUUAAAGAUGUAAGUGCACCACUACAAGAUGGACCUGCGUUGGAUUAGGUAGUAGGUGAGGUAACGGCGCACCUAGGGGACGAUACAUAGCCGACCUGCGCGGGUGAGUAGCCACAAUGAGACUGAGACACGGCCCAUGCUUCUUCGGGUAGCAGCCAUAGGGGAUCUUCGGCCAUCGACGAGAGUCUGACCGCACUACGCCGCGUUCGUUAAGAAGGUCUUCGGCUCCUGAAGGUCUUUUGUAAGGGAAGAACGGGUGUGAGCCUGGAACGUUCACUCUGUGACGGUAUCUUACCAAGAAGAUCCGGCUAACUACGUG